GAUGAACGCUGGCGGCGUGCCUAAUACAUGCAAGUCAAGCGAACAGACGAGGAGCUUGCUCCUCUGACGUUAGCGGCGGACGGGUGAGUAACACGUGGAUAACCUACCUAUAAGACUGGGAUAACUUCGGGAAACCGGAGCUAAUACCGGAUAAUAUAUUGAACCGCAUGGUUCAAUAGUGAAAGACGGUUUUGCUGUCACUUAUAGAUGUAUCCGCGCCGCAUUAGCUAGUUGGUAAGGUAACGGCUUACCAAGGCAACGAUGCGUAGCCGACCUGAGAGGGUGAUCGGCCACACUGGAACGGAGACACGGUCCAGACUCCUACGGGAGGCAGCAGUAGGGAAUCUUCCGAAAUGGGCGAAAGCUUGACGGAGCAACGCCGCGUGAGUGAUGAAGGUCUUCGGAUCGUAAAACUCUGUUAUUAGGGAAGAACAAAUGUGUAAGUAACUAUGCACGUCUUGACGGUACCUAAUCAGAAAGCCACGGCUAACUACGUG
rnacentral:rRNA from 1 species